AUGUGUGCCUUUGUCAACCCAUUGAAUGUUUCUUUUGAGCAGCUUGCGCAGGGUGGUACUGCUAUGGGAACUGGAUUGAAUUCCAAAAAAGGUGUCUCCUUCAGCAUAUCUCUUGUAAAAAUUGCUGCUGCAGUAGCUGAUUUAUUCAUUUUUCUUUUACUGGCAAGAAACCAAAUAUUUCAGUGUAGAAAUGGUGGCAUGGAUAGGAAGAAGAUCAUUGCCAUAGGUAUUAUGCUCUAAACCUCUGCAUUCUUUUUUCAUUGCUUCUUGUUCAGUGACGUUUCGUCAAUACGAGGUGAUAAUUUAUAGACCAUAGCUGUCCUGAAAAUACCAUUUUGCCGAAACUGCUGCUACUGGUUUGUAUGCUACUU